CGAAUGUCCACUGGACGGGGACAAAUUCCUUGAAAAAGACGUUGAAUGGAGAAUCUUUCCUCUGAAAAAUCUGCUGAGGCGCAAGGUAAAAUGCUGGAACGAGGAAAACGGUUGCGACGCCAUCAUGACUGUUUCAGACAUGCUGAAGCACUUUGAUGAAGAUUGCGUCCGUCACA